rnacentral:rRNA from 1 species
UACGGAGGGUGCAAGCGUUGUCCGGAUUUAUUGGGUUUAAAGGGUGCGUAGGCGGCCUGUUAAGUCAGCGGUGAAAUCCCAGGGCUCAACCCUGGAACUGCCGUUGAUACUGGCAGGCUUGAGUUCGGUCGAGGCGGGCGGAACUGGUGGUGUAGCGGUGAAAUGCAUAGAUACCACCAAGAGCCCCGAUUGCGAAGGCAGCUCGCUGGGCCGAAACUGACGCUGAGGCACGAAAGCGUGGGGAGCGAACAGG